UUUCUUUAUCCUUUCGUGGUCCUGCUUUUUUCAUUUUUCCUCCCUUUCAUCUCUACGGUUUCUCCCACCCUUUUUCGUACUCCCUUUGCAGUACUCAAAUUGACGGCCAUGUCUUCUGAAGAAGGGAAGCUUUUUGUGGGAGGACUCAACUUCAACACCGACGAACAGGCUCUUGAAGACCACUUCAGCAGCUUCGGUCCUAUUUCGGAGGUGGUUGUUGUCAAGGACCGGGAGACUCAGCGAUCCCGGGGUUUUGGUUUCAUCACCUUCACCAAUCCAGAGCAUGCCUCAGAUGCCAUGAGAGCCAUGAAUGGAGAGGGGGUGGAGGGCAGCGGCAGACAGAGCCGGGCUGCCUGGGAGGCGACGACUGGUCCUGCAUGAGGCCGAGAAGCCACCUGUGGAUGGUUGACCUGCCCUGGGCUUAGGUAGUAGAGUCUGCAGACCUGCGGGCCUGGCCCGGAGAGGACCUCGUGAGUCUUCUGGGAUGGACUCUGAAGUCUCAAACCAAGAGAGGUGUCUGUCUAGCCCUAAUAGUGGGGCAGCUUGUAGGAGUGGGGAGGAGAACUCAGCCUGAGUUCAGUCAAGAUGUAAGUAGUAGCAGGGGGAACACGGUGGAUUCAGGUCAUUUUGUGGGAUUCUAUAGCUCCUGAUAAAGCCGUUCUGGUGAAAGGAGCUUAUUCUGGAACAUGGCACCCAGAACCUGGUGCCCAGCAGGAGUUUCUGGGCAAAAGCCCACCUGCCCUACCCAUUCUUCCUUCACCACUGCCCUGUUUGACCACCAACCCAUCCUCCUUGUGUCUCCCUACGCGUAGUCUCUGGAUGGUCGCCAGAUCCGUGUGGAUCACGCGGGCAAGUCGGCCAGGGGAACUAGAGGGGGUGCCUUUGGGGCCCAUGGGCGUGGUCGCAGCUACUCUAGAGGUGGUGGGGACCAGGGCUAUGGGAGUGGCAGAUACGACAGUCGACCUGGAGGAUAUGGGUAUGGAUAUGGAAGGAGCAGAGACUAUGGUGGCAGAAGCCAGGGUGGUUAUGACCGCUACUCUGGAGGAAAUUACAGAGACAAUUACGACAACUGAGAUGAGGCAUGUGCACCUAAUGUAGAUACACAAGGAAUAAAACUUCUGGUCCAGGAUCAUCCUUCCAAAUGGCUGUAUUUAUAAAGAUUUUUGGAGCUGCACUGACAUCUGUUUUAGUACAUCAACUUCUAUUUUUGAACUGAGCUCCCAAGGUAGCUUGUCACAAAGAACUUUUAGAAAGCUCCAUGUGUUUUUAAAAUUUUUUUCUCUUAAAUAAUAAUCCUGGGACUUUUGUAGAGUUUGGGUAUUUUUUUCCUUCUACCAAUUUUUCAGUUUGGGCUCUCAGGAUUACUGAUUAUGGCAAAAAAAUAAUGUUAAGACUGGUUUUUUUUUUAAAUAACGUGCAUUUAUCAUAAGCAUUUCCAAAUGCAAGUACAAGAAAUCAGCACAAUUAGAGGUGGGGUUUUUUUUAUUCAAGGUCCCCACCCUUGAGAAUACAGAAGUUUCUUAGUAUUUGUGAGUGUCUUUUUUUUAGUACUGGAAGAAAAAAUACUCUGUUGUGUCUCACUAGCAUUUUAGGAUGUUCUUCACGGAGCUGAUUAAAAAGUUUAAAAAUGAAAAACUGA